AGUGAACGCUGGCGGUAGGCCUAACACAUGCAAGUCGAACGGCAGCACAGUAAGAGCUUGCUCUUACGGGUGGCGAGUGGCGGACGGGUGAGGAAUACGUCGGAAUCUACUUUUUCGUGGGGGAUAACGUAGGGAAACUCACGCUAAUACCGCAUACGACCUACGGGUGAAAGCAGGGGAUCUUCGGACCUUGCGCGAUUGAAUGAGCCGAUGUCGGAUUAGCUAGUUGGCGGGGUAAAGGCCCACCAAGGCGACGAUCCGUAGCUGGUCUGAGAGGAUGAUCAGCCACACUGGAACUGAGACACGGUCCAGACUCCUACGGGAGGCAGCAGUGGGGAAUAUUGGACAAUGGGCGCAAGCCUGAUCCAGCCAUACCGCGUGGGUGAAGAAGGCCUUCGGGUUGUAAAGCCCUUUUGUUGGGAAAGAAAAGCAGCAGGUUAAUACCCCGCUGUUCUGACGGUACCCAAAGAAUAAGCACCGGCUAACUUCGUG
rnacentral:rRNA from 1 species